UUUAGUGGGCUAGGGUUUAGGCUUCUAGAAUGCCUUGCAAGGCAAGGAAAUCAGAAAUUUUAAAGGCCUAGGUGCGGCAAAUUAGUGGGCUAGGGUUAGGGUUUGUAGAUAGGGCUUCUAGAAAGCCCAAAACCAAGAAUAGAAACUCUCGAAAACGGAAACCUCCAAGAAUAGAAACUUCCAACUUUAGAAACUUUGGUUUCUAAUUCUGAAUUCUUUGUUCUUCACAUUCAUUUCUUCAUUUCUUAAGCUCCUUUGCCCUUCAAACUCGUCCAUUCCUUGUGCUCCAAGCAUGUACUUUCCAAUCUAAGCUCCAUUUUGCUCCAAAAGGCUCCAAUUUGCAUCCUUUUAUGUCAUAUGCCCUUUAAGCCUGAAAACACAUGAAAGUAGCUCAAAAGACUACUUUAACGACGAAAACAUAACGAAAAUGCAUAAGAACUAGCUAACUAAGGCGCAUAAAUAUGCUCCUAUCACUAGGACACAAAACAAAAGCCUAGAACCCUUUUGAACCCUUGCCGCACCCCCCUUUGCAUUUCCUCUUCCUUAUUUCCUGUUUUUAUGCUUUAAAACACCUUCCUUUUGUGUUUUAAACCCUAGCCGAAUUUCCCUUGCUCUUUCCUUUAAUUUUCUGAUUUAUUUCCUAAUUCUAGAAUCCUUAGACUUAAUUUCUGAUUUCCUAAUCAACCUAGGGUUUUAAUUUCUGUUUUCCUUUAAAUAAACCUCCUUGUUGCAGCCACAAAACAUUCCACACACACCAUAAACAUCCAUUCACGCCAGGACCCUUCACCAUAACCAACCUAUAUCCAUCCUCCACCACAAAUCACCACGAAAACCAUCACCCAUCCCUUGUGCCGCAGAAAAGAAGAAGGAAUGAGACCCUUGGAGUGCUUGCAAUUCAAUUUUGGAUUGCUGGAUCAUUCUUAGGUGUUUUCAUUCUUUGUUUUUAAUGUCUAAAUUUAUGUAUCUUUGUUUUGCGAGUAUGAGGAACUAAACCCCUCUUGGCUAGGGGGAAUUUCGAAACCAUGAUUAUAUUUUCAAUAUGAAUUGAUUACCUUCAGUUGUGAUUUCAUAAGUUGUGAAUUCAAUUUGUUUAACUGCUUGAUUGAUAACUUAUUCGUGUAUGUUGAUUAUGGAGGCCUACUUAGUUUGCAUGCAUGAAUAUGAUGCUAGAGUAUAAGGGAGUUUCACCUAAUAGUUACAAACUUAUAUUCACAAGUAGUGGAGGUCGCUUAUAAACGAUCGCGUUAAAUGAAUUCUUGGCACUAGUUUCAUGCUCAUCAUAGUAACGAAUGCCUCGUCAAUACUUAUAGUUUUCAUGAUGCUUAAUGAUCUUUGAUUGUAUCUUUAUUGUGCUUUUCACGUAAAGAACUUUUGAAGAAUGCUUUGAAUUGUUGUAUGCGCUUUCCCAUCCAAUUCAUUAACUUAAGGAGAACUUGAAGGUUAAUUUAAGCGGACCUAAUUAACCUGGGGUGUUGAGUUUCAUGAUUUAUCAAAAGAACAACUGAAAAUUGGUUUAUGUGCAAGUGUGUCAUGUGUGGAGAAGGACCUUCUAGCUAAUCCAUCAUCCAUCCAUUCAUCUUAAUUUCGUCCAAAAUCUGUUUAGUUUUAAGUUUCUGUUUUGUUUUGCUUAUUUUUGUCCAAAAACCCAAUCCCCUUUACUUUGAAGUGUUAGAUUAGUUAAAAUCUGUUUUGAUUUGUGUUUCUAAGUGUUUUGAUCCAAGUUUUCAUCCAAAUUCGUCCAAGUUCUUGUUAGGUUCUCAAAACUGCCCAGAAAGUGGUUUUUAGGCAGUUUUGAGUCAUUAG
rnacentral:lncRNA from 1 species